rnacentral:rRNA from 1 species
GUCCAGACUCCUACGGGAGGCAGCAGUGGGGAAUAUUGCACAAUGGGGGGAACCCUGAUGCAGCGACGCCGCGUGGGUGAAGGAGUACUUCGGUACGUAAAGCCCUAUCAGCAGGAAAGAAAAUGACGGUACCUGACUAAGAAGCCCCGGCUAACUACGUGCCAGCAGCCGCGGUAAUACGUAGGGGGCAAGCGUUAUCCGGAUUUACUGGGUGUAAAGGGCGUGUAGGCGGGGACGCAAGUCAGAUGUGAAAACCACGGGCUCAACCUGUGGCCUGCAUUUGAAACUGUGUUUCUUGAGUGCUGGAGAGGCAGGCGGAAUUCCUAGUGUAGCGGUGAAAUGCGUAGAUAUUAGGAGGAACACCAGUGACGAAGGCGGUCUGCUGGACAGCAACUGACGCUGAGGCUCGAAAGCGUGGGGAGCAAACAGGAUUAGAUACCCCAGUACA